rnacentral:rRNA from 1 species
UGGGGAAUAUUGGGCAAUGGGCGCAAGCCUGACCCAGCAACGCCGCGUGAGGGAAGAAGGCCUUCGGGUUGUAAACCUCUGUCCUUGGUGACGAAACAAAUGACGGUAGCCAAGGAGGAAGCCCCGGCUAACUACGUGCCAGCAGCCGCGGUAAUACGUAGGGGGCGAGCGUUGUCCGGAAUUACUGGGCGUAAAGGGUGCGUAGGUGGCCUUUUAAGUUGGAUGUGAAAUACCCGGGCUUAACUUGGGGGGUGCAUCUAAUACUGGGAGGCUAGAGUGCAGGAGAGGGAAGCGGAAUUCCUAGUGUAGCGGUGAAAUGCGUAGAUAUUAGGAGGAACACCAGUGGCGAAGGCGGCUUUCUGGACUGUAACUGACACUGAGGCACGAAAGCGUGGGGAG